rnacentral:rRNA from 1 species
UAACAUUGACAGUUAAUUACACCCACUGUCCGCCUGGGAACUACGAGCGCCAGCUUAAAACCCAAAGGACUUGGCGGUGCUUUAGACCCACCUAGAGGAGCCUGUUCUAGAACCGAUAAUCCCCGUUAAACCUCACCCUUCCUUGCCAUUUCCGCCUAUAUACCACCGUCGUCAGCUUACCCUGUGAAGGCCCCAUAGUAAGCACAAUCGGCAAUGCCCAAAACGUCAGGUCGAGGUGUAGCGAAUGGAAGGGGAAGAAAUGGGCUACAUUUACUAAUUCAGUAAAUACGGAUGAUCACCCUGCAACGAGUAUCUGAAGGAGGAUUUAGCAGUAAGCAAAAAAUAGAGUGUUUUGCUG